ensembl:lncRNA
GAAAGACGUGUCUAGGGUACCACAGAUAUCAGUGUGUUGUGUUUACUACUGUGCCCAUGCUUCCAUCUUGAUGACAAGGAGGACGACUCCUUCAUCAUUCCCACUACAGAAUACACAAUGGUUCACAUCUUGAAACUGUUUCAGUGUUAUUAACCUGGAUUCCAUUUGGAUGAAAUGAAGCCAGAAGAGACGUCAAUGAGAAAAAAAGAACCUAAAAGAAACCUACUUAAUGUUUUAUGACAGAAAUCUAGAAUCAAAUUGAAUUAAGCAAAUCUUGAAGAGAAGACUUCACAUAUUUCCCGACUAAUCUCUGAUGAGACAGCUUUCUUCCAUUCUUAAAGGAGGAAGAAAGGGAGAAUCAGCAAGUAAAACAAAACAAGAAAAUGAUGUUCAUUCCACAUAACAUAUUUAAUUUGAUCGACAAUCUUUAGCCUGUCAUUGACCAAGAACACCCAAGUAAUGUUUGUUGGAAAAUCUACUCUAAGCUGCUGAGCAGUUAAUUUGCCAGUUUUAGUUUUAU